rnacentral:lncRNA from 1 species
AACGAAGUUAGUGUAAAACUCGAGAGAGUCUCUCGGGGACUGGACUAACCACGUGUUGUGGUGAACCAGGAUAAAAUUCGGUGUGUUCUCUCCUUAUAUCUUUUAUUACUGCACUUACGUUAUUCCUGCAAUUUUCAAUUCCGCAAAUUUACAUUGUUUUUUAUUAUAACGCUAUUCACCCCCCUCUAGCGUUAAGCGUAUAUUCUAACA